AUUGAACGCUGGCGGCGUGCUUAACACAUGCAAGUCGAUCGGUAACGCGGGGGCAACCCUGGCGACGAGAGGCGGACGGGUGAGGAACGCUUGGGAAUCUGCCUAUCGGCGGGGGACAACACGGGGAAACUCGUGCUAAUACCGCAUACGCUCUACGGAGGAAAGCCGGGGACCGCAAGGCCCAGCACUGAUAGAUGAGCCCAAGCCGGAUUAGCUAGUUGGCGGGGUAACGGCCCACCAAGGCGACGAUCCGUAGCUGGUCUGAGAGGACGAUCAGCCACACUGGGACUGAGACACGGCCCAGACUCCUACGGGAGGCAGCAGUGGGGUAUAUUGGACAAUGGGAGAAACCCUGAUCCAGCGACGCCGCGUGGGUGAAGAAGGCCUGCGGGUUGUAAAGCCCUUUCGGUAGGGACGAAAGCUCUCGACCUAACACGUCGGGAGGUUGACUUAACCUACAAAAGAAGCACCGGCUAACUCUGUGCCAGCCGCCGCCGUAACAC
rnacentral:rRNA from 1 species